rnacentral:tRNA from 1 species
GGAGAAAUGGUCUAGUGGUUGGGCACAGGCGCCUCGAAUGUUCUGGAUGUGCGUUCGAUUCGCACUUUCUCCA